rnacentral:rRNA from 1 species
GACGAACGCUGGCGGCGUGCCUAAUACAUGCAAGUCGAGCGGAUGACGGAGGAGCUUGCUCCUCCUGAUUCAGCGGCGGACGGGUGAGUAACACGUGGGCAACCUGCCCUGUAGAUUGGGAUAACUCCGGGAAACCGGGGCUAAUACCGAAUAAUCCUUCGGACCUCAUGGUCCGAUGUUGAAAGACGGUUUCGGCUGUCACUACAGGAUGGGCCCGCGGCGCAUUAGCUAGUUGGUGAGGUAACGGCUCACCAAGGCCACGAUGCGUAGCCGACCUGAGAGGGUGAUCGGCCACACUGGGACUGAGACACGGCCCAGACUCCUACGGGAGGCAGCAGUAGGGAAUCUUCCACAAUGGACGAAAGUCUGAUGGAGCAACGCCGCGUGAGUGAAGAAGGUUCUCGGAUCGUAAAACUCUGUUGUGAGGGAAGAACAAGUACCGGAGUAACUGCCGGUGCCUUGACGGUACCUCAUUAGAAAGCCACGGCUAACUACGUGCCAGCAGCCGCAGUAACAC